UUCUCUCAAGUAUAAAAUUAAAUAAAUUAAACUAAACCCCUAUCUCUCAUUCUCAAAACCAACUGAUCAUGGCAAACAAUAACUAGCACAAAAGAAACAAGAACCAAAUUGCAACUUAAGUUUAAACUUAUUUUUGACAUUGAAUAGCAUAAGAAUAAUGAAUCAGACGAUCAAGCAACCACUAAUUCAUUUCAAGCAGAGAGUGAGAUAGAAGAGAUGGACCUUGAAACUCCGACAUACGAACUUAAACAGGGAAUGGAAAACAGCAGCGAAAAUUACUCCGCAAAUCUCGAACCUCGGACGGCAACCGGCGACGGGCUUCACUCAAUCGAACUCCACUUUUUGCAAUAUAAAUCUGGAAUUGAAAAGCAAGGAAACAGAAAUGUUUUUGGUGCCUUUUUUUUGUGAUUUUGAAACGAAAACCAAACUUGAACAAAGAGGGUUAUUAAUCUCUGAAACUAUUACUAGGAUGUAAAGUAAUUUUUAUAUAUCAAAAGCUAAAUGGAAAUCAGCUGAGAGAAGAUGAAAAUCAGACACCCUCGGAUUUGCUCUUUUUCUGCACACUGUUCAUAUGUGUGUAUGUGGUGAGGCAGAUUAGAGGGAUUCCAACGAGUGGGGUGACUGGCGGAGGCGUGGAGACGGAGUGUGCGGUUGUGGUAUUUGGAGGCGCUGCUUGGUGGUGAGGAGU
rnacentral:lncRNA from 1 species